AUUCCAUACAAUUGAAGCUAUGCUGCAGGUUUUUUUAUUCUCUCCUGAGUAUGAAAUUCACUUUUCUAAUAAAGAAAACAACCCACAAACAGAAAAUCCCCACGCCAAGCCAUAUAAAUAAAAAGACAACCUAAAACAACCAGAACAAAACCCAAAAAGGGUAUUUAAAAAUCAGGCACACAGUGUUUCCGCUUGGCUGAGAAAGUAGGAGGAUGACUAAAAAGUCUACGUUAGUUCAUAAUGACGGGUGUAACAAAAGAAAGUGAACAGCAAAGCACAUGUCAGGAGGGGUUCGUCAGCUCUUGUAGGGUGGAUGGAUUUGCAGUGUGGAUGAAAAGCAGGCUUCAUUUCCCACUAGGGCAUGUGAGCAGUAAUGAGUUCUUCAGAAUGGGAAGAGAACUCUGCUGGAGUGAAUUCCCAGGCAGCACAGAGCAGCUCACUAAAAUGCAAGGAAACAAUUGCCGAACUUCCAACUUAAAAAGUGAAGACCCAGAGCUGUUGGCAUUCAAUGAAGUUGAAGGAGACUGACUCCAUGCCCUGCAAAUAGGUGCAUUCAGGUGGUGACUGAUGAAUAUGGAAAGGUUGGAAGUGGCUGCGGAUUGAAGCAAGCUGCAUUUUCUCCUAGUGCUUGCAUUGACCUUCUGGGGCAAAACUGUCCCUUCCAUGUUCUGUAAUUGUUCUGUUUAUGUAGCAGUUUUCACUUUCUCUUUUUUUAUUUCCUUUUCUUUUUCUCUUUUCUGUUGAGUUUCUUAUACUGGUUCCACUUCUCAGGUCAUACAAAGACAUUCAAUCACCACACACUGAAAUAUGGAAAAUAUGAUUUAAGAACUGUUUUAUCUAAUGCCACCUUUCAAAAACGUGGUUGCCUUGAUAUUUCUGACUUCCUCUUCUUUGGAGAAAUUUAUGAGGUGAUACUGUGAAACAUUUUUUUCCUUUUUGUUUUAAGUGUUUCCUUCUUAUCACAUAUUUCAGAAAGGAUUUUGAAACAUUUCCCUGUAAGACUGACCUUUCUGAGCAGUGGCUGGCAGAUAGCGUUCUUUGAUAUCUUCUAACCUAAUAAUCCAGCUGCCCAAGGUGGGUUUAAAAUGAAAUCCUUGUUCCAAUAAUAGAAUUGCUACUUUAAAAUAUACAUGAAUGGGACAUGGAGUCAGCCUGGAAUACCACAAACCCAGUACAGAAUUUCUUCUUGUCCCCUGCGUUACAUUACUCCUCUCACCUCCUUUUCCUUCUGUAUUUGACUGUGUGCUCUAAUAGAACCCAAACAGCAGUGGUAAUGUAAUGCCAUGGAGCAGUUUCUUUAUAGGCUUAUGUACCAUUUGUGCUCAUUGAUUAAAUUGUCUAGAAAGUUGAGAAAUUUCAGGAAAAAUUCUCAAGUUAACAUCACCAGGGCAUAAUUGAAAAAUUGCCUGAGAAUCAUGGAUUUAUAGUAAUUUUGUUGGGGUUUGUGCUUGGUGAACCAUGUACACUUAUGUUCUUUCAUGCUUUUCUUCAAAUAAUCACAAAAAUGUACAAAGGUUUAACUCGGGAUCCAAAAUAAAAAUUUAGCUAUGGUAGCUAUGAUGGUA
rnacentral:lncRNA from 1 species